GUAUGUGGUAGCUCAGUGGUUAAGACAUUGGGCUGCUGUUCAGAUGGUCAUGAGUUCAAACCCCAUCACGGCCA